rnacentral:lncRNA from 12 species
CCCUCACCCUGCUAUUUUCCUGUAGUCAGUGAGACAUGCCAAGUAUUUUUUAAGAGCUAUAGUGCUGCAAUCUGGUUGGAGGGAGCAAUUUCCAUUUGUUUUUUGAGUGUCAUCACAUUGGAUUUGGCUCAUCUCUCCAGCCUGACUCUAGGUCUCUUUGACCUUUGACUCUGACAUCCAUUCUUUAUCCCUCUCAAUCCUGGUUACACCCUCAUGUGAUAAACCUGUCAUCUAUGUCUUCAUCUCUUUAGCUACUAAAUCAUUAAACAGGACAGAACAUUCUGCUGAACCCUCCCUCCGUCUGACCUCAAUCUUUUUCAAAAUCGACACCCUUUGGGUGUGGUCAUUCACCCCUGGAGAGACUGAAUGGGGACAAGGCCUGGCUCAAGGAUCCUCAUCAGCUUUGGGAGAAGAUGGCCAUCCACAGCCCAGCCUGCAGCCCUCGUGUCUAUGAAGCUAACUGCUCACCUCUCCAGAUGGACCUGCCUAGUCCAUCCUCCCCAACUCAGGCAGGUAAUGGUAACCAAGCCUCCAGGUCUUAUUCUAAAAUCCAACAACUCUGUAACUUGGGCUGACCAAAGAAGGCCUCACUAACCUCUGGGAACAAAGGAGGUCACCCUACUGAAAAUAACCCUGGCUUUCCUGUCCUGUGUCUAACAAGAAUUUGGCAUCUUACCAUCUCUACUCCAAAAAUUUCUGGGAGACCCCAGGAGUGUCUCACUUAUGUUCACAUACAAGCCCAGUUGCCACCUAGUGGUCUGCUGGGCUCUUGUGGAGGGUGGCAUGUUGCCUUCUCAGCAU